CACAAAACAAUAGUCAAACCUCUCAGACAAAGACAAUCAGACACCAAACCUCAGAGAGAAACACCUUAUCGCAACCCACUGUACGAAGGACAUUGCCACAGCCACGGCUACGGCUACGGGUACGGCUAUGGCCACAGUCACCGCCGUAAAGCACCACCAGCACAGCCACAGAUCACAAGGAUCUCCUGGAGUAGUAAGAUCAAUGCUUUGGGACAGUGGAGUUGUAUUGGAGAAGUUCUUAGAGCAUGCUGUAGAAUCAGGGAUGAUGCUUCAUCAAGAUUAAGGCUGCUGAGGAAGAACGUUGGAACUAAUCUGUACGAAAAUAUUCAUGGUUCUGUAGUAGCGGGUCAAGUCAUUUGGGGAGAGAAGCCUGUUGUAGAAUUGAUUCGAUCAUUACCUAAUUAUGGUACAAAGAUCUUAUAUCUUCUCUUCUACAUAACAAAGUUUUUAAAAAUUGGUUGUUUCUAUAACCAAG